GAGGGGCAGCGGGGAUAGCAAUAUCCGCCGGCGACCGGCGAAAGGGUGCGUAACGCGUGAGCAACUUGCCCGUAUCCGGGAGAUAACCGAUGGAAACGUCGCCUAAUAUCCCAUAACAACAGGGACCGCAUGAUCCUUGUUUGAAAGAUCCGUCGGAUACGGAUGGGCUCGCGAGACAUUAGCUGGUUGGAGUGGUAACGGCACACCAAGGCUACGAUGUCUAGGGGUUCUGAGAGGAAGGUCCCCCACAUUGGAACUGAGACACGGUCCAAACUCCUACGGGAGGCAGCAGUGAGGAAUAUUGGUCAAUGGACGCAAGUCUGAACCAGCCAUGCCGCGUGCAGGAAUAAGGCCCUAUGGGUCGUAAACUGCUUUUGUGGUGGAGCAAUAAGUCGUACGUGUACGACGAUGAGAGUACAUCACGAAUAAGCAUCGGCUAACUCCGUGCCAGCAGCCGCGGUAAUACGGAGGAUGCAAGCGUUAUCCGGAUUUAUUGGGUUUAAAGGGUGCGUAGGCUGUGGUCCAAGUCAGGGGUGAAAGCCCGGCGCUUAACGCCGGAACUGCCUUUGAUACUGGAUUGCUGGAAUAAGGAUGCCGUGGGAGGAAUGAGUAGUGUAGCGGUGAAAUGCAUAGAUAUUACUCAGAACACCGAUUGCGAAGGCAUCUCACGAAUCCGUCAUUGACGCUGAGGCACGAAAGCGUGGGGAUCAAACAGGAUUAGAUACCCUGGUAGUCCACGCAGUAAACGAUGAUAACUAACCGUCGGCGAUACACAGUCGGUGGCCAAGCGAAAGCGAUAAGUUAUCCACCUGGGGAGUACGUUCGCAAGAAUGAAACUCAAAGGAAUUGACGGGGGCCGCACAAGCGGAGGAACGUGUGGUUAAUUCGAUGAAUCGCGAGGAACCUUACCCGGGCUCGAACCGCUAGUGAACGAACAGAGAUGUUGACGUCCUUUCGGACACUAGUCGAGGUGCUUGCAUGGUUGUCGCCAGUUCUGUGUCUGUAAGCUGGCUCAGCGUCAUAAACGAUGCUACUCUUGGU
rnacentral:rRNA from 1 species